rnacentral:misc_RNA from 1 species
GAUGAAGAACGCAGCGAAAUGCGAUACGUAAUGUGAAUUGCAGAAUUCAGUGAAUCAUCGAAUCUUUGAACGCAUCUUGCGCUCCUUGGUAUUCUGAGGAGCAUGCCUGUUUGAGUGUCAUUAAAUUCUCAACUACACUGACUUUGAAUUGGUGUGGCUUGGAUUUGGGGGGAAAAUUGUUGUGGGCUUUUUGUAUAGUCUGCUCCCCUGAAAUUGAUUAGCGGUACCUUUGUGGAACUGUCUGCAGGUGUGAUAAUUAUCUACAUCUUAGACAUCUGCUGGAAUGCUGCUCUCUAAACCUUACUUGUAUUGACAAUCUUGACCUCAAAUCAGGUAGGACUACCCGCUGAACUUAAGCAUAUCAAUAAGCGGAGGA